rnacentral:rRNA from 1 species
UACGUAUGGUGCAAGCGUUAUCCGGAUUUACUGGGUGUAAAGGGAGCGCAGGCGGCGCGUUAAGCCUGGUGUGAAAGCCCGCGGCCCAACCGCGGGACUGCAUUGGGAACUGGCGCGCUGGAGUGCCGGAGGGGUAGGCGGAAUUCCUAGUGUAGCGGUGAAAUGCGUAGACAUUAGGAGGAACACCAGUGGCGAAGGCGGCUCACUGGACUGUAACUGACGUUGAGGCUCGAAAGCGUGGGGAGCAAACAGG